GGAUUAAAAUUUAUUUGUUUUUAAGAUGUCAAUUUUACAAUUUGACUUAAGAAUAAACAAGUUCCAUGGAGGACUGAUCCUGGCUGGAAGUAUUGUGUUGAACUUCCUUCAAUCAGAUCGCAGGAAGGCAAACCUUAUAAAUAUGUUGAGUGCUACUUUUGUAAGAAGUGGACCACUGGCGGAAUUAAAAGGCUAAAGGAGCAUCUUGCAAAUAAUCAUAAGAGUGUUGCAGGUUGUCCACGAGUUUCCAUUGAGGUUGAAGAAGAAACGAAGUCGUUUAUGUUGAAAAAGACCGAGGGUAAAAGAACAGCAAGGAAAAAUUUGUAUUGUACGCCUUGUAUUGCACACUGCAUUGACUUAAUGUUGGAGGACAUUCUUAAGUUACCCCUCCAUACUUCUGUGUUCACCAAGGCCAAGAAAAUAAUAAAUUUUAUAUACGGUCAUGCAAGGGUGUUACCAAUGGUAAGAAAGUUUACCGGUGGAGAUUUGGUGAAACCUGCUGUUACUUGAUUAGCCACUGCAUUUCUUACUUUGCAAAGCUUGUUUGGAGCAAGGGAUGGACUUGAAUCCUUUUUUACUUCAAGAAAGUGGAAAACCAAUGCUUAUGCAUCUCGAUUGGAAAAAAUAUGCACAACAUAGUUCUAAAAAGCAAGUCGUUUUGGCCUGGUGUUGCUAACGUUCUCAACACAACAAAGUCCUUUGUUAUAGUUUUUCGAAUGGUGGAUUCCGAGAAGUAUCCACCAAUAGGAUUUAUUUACGAAGCUAUGGAUAGGGCUAAAGAAAAAAUUGCAAAAAAUCUAAAUAAUGAUGUUGCAAAGUAUCAGAUUGUGGAUCUUGUGGAUACUUGGUGGGAUCAUCAGCUUCACACGCAUUUGCACGCUGCUGCAUAUUUUCUAAAUCCUCAUUUCCAAUAGGAACCUUCUUUCUCUUCUCAUCGUAAGAUUAAAUUGAGACUUUAUUCUUGCAUGGAGCGAUUGGUGAUUCAGAAGAAAGAGAAGAAGUGGAUUUGCAGAUCGAUUCUUUUUGAAAUGCACCAGAUUUAUUUUUGAAAUGCACAAGAUUUAUUUUUGAAAUGCACAAGAUUUUAUUUGGACUGGUAAAUGCAGUAAGCACGAGAAAGAAGAGAAGUCCAGCAGAUUGGUGGAGAGCUUUUGGAGAUCAAACGCCUGAACUUGCAAAAAUUGCCAUUAGAAUCUUGAACAUGACUUGUAGUGCUUCUGGAUGUUAACGGAAUUGGAGCUUCUUCAAUCAAGUGCAUACAAAGAGAAGAAAUCGCUUGAAGCCAGCGAAACUCAAUAAUUUGGUUUACAUUAUGUUCAAUUUAAAACUAAAACACAGGGAGUUAAAGAAGAAAGCAAUUGAAGAUCCCCUUUGUUUGGAUGAUGUAGACUCUGGCGAUGAAUGCAUCUCAGAGCUUUAAGAUCCUGAGGUAGAGGCCUAUGAAGAUCUUGAUAAAAAAUCCAAUUGAUGACGGUGGAUUUUCCGCAUGCCAGGAAGGAAAGCGAAGAAGAAGAGGUUGAAUUGAAUUUCAUGGACAAUUCUCUCGAGGAUUCUAAUAGUAGUACUCUAGCUCUAGUGACAAUAGCGAUGAUUGAUGGGUUAAGACUUAUGAGAUUAGACCAUAUGUAUUUCGAAUCUGUAAAAGUUUGGAACUUUUAAUGAUUUUUUUGGAACUUCUAAUGAAAC